UGUCUGCACCAUGGCCUGGGCCCCGCUCCUCCUCCUCACCCUCCUCCUGCACUGCACAGGGUCCCUGUCCCAGCCUGUGCUGACUCAGCCGCCCUCUGCAUCUGCCUCCCUGGGAGCCUCGGCCAAGCUCACCUGCACCCUGAGCAGUGCACACAGCGGCUACACCAUUGCGUGGUAUCAGCAGCAGCCAGGGAAGGCCCCUCAGUACUUGAUGUAUGUUAAGAGCGAUGGAAGGCACAGCAAGGGGGACGGGAUCCCCGAUCACUUCUCGGGCUCCAGCUCCGGGGCUGACCGCUACUUGACCAUCUCCAACAUCCAGCCUGAGGACGAGGCUGACUAUAUCUGUGGUGCAGAUUAUAGCACUAUCCAGGAGGAGGCCACUGAAGAAGACGUCUAUGACAAAUUCGCAGAAUAUGGGGAAAUAAAAAACAUCCACCUCAAUCUGGACAGGAGAACUGGAUUCCUGAAGGGCUAUGCUCUGCUGGAGUACAGAGCGUACCAGGAGGCCAGGCUGCUAUGGAGGGACUCGGUGGACAGCAUUUGA